rnacentral:rRNA from 1 species
GUGAGGAGUAUUGGACAAUGGGCGCAAGCCUGAUCCAGCCAUGCCGCGUGCAGGAAGACGCAUCUAUGGUGUGUAAACUGCUUUUGUACGGGAAGAAACACUCCCUCGUGAGGGAGCUUGACGGUACCGUAAGAAUAAGGAUCGGCUAACUCCGUGCCAGCAGCCGCGGUAAUACGGAGGAUCCAAGCGUUAUCCGGAAUCAUUGGGUUUAAAGGGUCCGUAGGCGGUUUAAUAAGUCAGUGGUGAAAGCCCAUCGCUCAACGAUGGAACGGCCAUUGAUACUGUUAGACUUGAAUUACAAGGAAGUAACUAGAAUAUGUAGUGUAGCGGUGAAAUGCUUAGAUAUUACAUGGAAUACCAAUUGCGAAGGCAGGUUACUACUUGUGGAUUGACGCUGAUGGACGAAAGCGUGGGGAGCGAACAGGAUUAGAUACCCCGGUAGUCC